rnacentral:rRNA from 1 species
CUACGGGAGGCUGCAGUGGGGAAUAUUGGACAAUGGGCGAAAGCCUGAUCCAGCCAUGCCGCGUGUGUGAAGAAGGCCUUCGGGUUGUAAAGCACUUUCAGUGGGGAAGAAAGCCUUGGGGCUAAUACCCUCGAGGAAGGACAUCACCCACAGAAGAAGCACCGGCUAACUCCAUGCCAGCAGCCGCGGUAAUACGGAGGGUGCGAGCGUUAAUCGGAAUUACUGGGCGUAAAGCGCGCGUAGGCGGUCUGAUAAGCCGGUUGUGAAAGCCCCGGGCUCAACCUGGGAACGGCAUCCGGAACUGUCAGGCUAGAGUGCAGGAGAGGAAGGUAGAAUUCCCGGUGUAGCGGUGAAAUGCGUAGAGAUCGGGAGGAAUACCAGUGGCGAAGGCGGCCUUCUGGACUGACACUGACGCUGAGGUGCGAAAGCGUGGGUAGCAAACAGGAUUAGAUACCCGAGUAGUC